AGCGAACGCUGGCGGCAUGCCUAACACAUGCAAGUCUGACGGGCUUCGGGUUUCGGCCUGAGGUCAGUGGCGGACGGGUGAGGAGCGCGUAGGAACGUAUCCAAGGGUGGGGGACAACCGCGGGAAACUGCGGCUAAUACCGCAUGGGGCCUGGGGGGAGACUUCUGGGCCAAAGGUUGAGCGAUCGACCGCCGAUGGAGCGGCCUGCGUCCGAUUAGCUAGUUGGUGGGGUAACGGCCUACCAAGGCGGUGAUCGGUAGCUGGUCUGAGAGGAUGA
rnacentral:rRNA from 1 species